rnacentral:rRNA from 1 species
UCGGAUCGGAGUCUGCAACCCGACUCCGUGAAGCUGGAUUCGCUAGUAAUCGCGCAUCAGCCAUGGCGCGGUGAAUACGUUCCCGGGCCUUGUACACACCGCCCGUCAAGCCAUGGGAGCCGGGGGUGCUUGAAGUGCGUCGCCGCAAGGCGCGCCCUAGAGCAAAACCGGUGACUGGGGCUAAGUCGUAACAAGGUAUC